rfam:Microlunatus soli strain DSM 21800 genome assembly, chromosome: I
GGGGGUGAUCGGUUUCGACUCGGGACGGUAGUCCCAGGAGAAGCGGGCCGAGGAUCCAAGGUCAACUCGUAAACGACCCUUGGAAAACAACAAGUGCCAAUUCUAAGCGCACUGACUUCGCUCUUGCUGCCUGAGCAGUAACCGAAGGGUCAGACCGGGAGUGUCUCCGUCCCGGACCCUGGCCUCGUUAAGGGGACUAACCCGCUGAGACUUGUCUCAGGGCUCAGCGGGGACAUCAACUGAGGCUGGGCCUGUCUGCAACAUGCUGAUGUGAGUGCAGGGGCCGAGUAGAACGACAUCAUCAGCUGCGCCCGGAGAAGACCUGGUUCGCUGCUCGAGGACGCGGGUUCGAUUCCCGCCACCUCCACCG